ACGGGUGAGUAACACGUGGGAACCUUCCCUAUAGUGCGGAAUAGCCCAGGGAAACUUGGAGUAAUACCGCAUACGCCCGAGAGGGGAAAGAUUUAUCGCUAUAGGAUGGGCCCGCGUAGGAUUAGCUAGUUGGUGAGGUAACGGCUCACCAAGGCGACGAUCCUUAGCUGGUUUGAGAGAACGACCAGCCACACUGGGACUGAGACACGGCCCAGACUCCUACGGGAGGCAGCAGUGGGGAAUAUUGGACAAUGGGCGCAAGCCUGAUCCAGCCAUGCCGCGUGAGUGAUGAAGGCCUUAGGGUUGUAAAGCUCUUUUGCCGGGGACGAUAAUGACGGUACCCGGAGAAUAAGUCCCGGCUAACUUCGUGCCAGCAGCCGCGGUAAUACGAAGGGGACUAGCGUUGUUCGGAAUCACUGGGCGUAAAGCGCACGUAGGCGGAUUUGUAAGUCAGGGGUGAAAUCCCGGGGCUCAACCUCGGAACUGCCUUUGAUACUGCGAGUCUUGAGUCCGAUAGAGGUGGGUGGAAUUCCUAGU
rnacentral:rRNA from 1 species